AGCGAACGCUGGCGGCAGGCUUAACACAUGCAAGUCGAGCGGGCAUCCUUGUGGUGUCAGCGGCAGACGGGUGAGUAACGCGUGGGAACGUGCCCUUCGGUUCGGAAUAACUCAGGGAAACUUGAGCUAAUACCGGAUACGUGCGAGAGCAGAAAGGUUUAUCUGCCGAAGGAUCGGCCCGCGUCUGAUUAGCUAGUUUGUGAGGUUAUGGCUCACCAAGGCGACGAUCAGUAGCUGGUCUGAGAGGAUGAUCAGCCACACUGGGACUGAGACACGGCCCAGACUCCUACGGGAGGCAGCAGUGGGGAAUAUUGGACAAUGGGGGCAACCCUGAUCCAGCCAUGCCGCGUGAGUGAUGACGGCCUUAGGGUUGUAAAGCUCUUUUCUCCGGGACGAUAAUGACGGUACCGGAGGAAUAAGCCCCGGCUAACUUCGUG
rnacentral:rRNA from 1 species